UACGUAGGGGGCAAGCGUUGUCCGGAUUUAUUGGGCGUAAAGCGCGUGUAGGCGGCCAGAAAAGUCCGCUGUGAAAACUCGAGGCUCAACUUCGAGCUGUCGGUGGAAACUUUCUGGCUAGAGUCCGGAAGAGGAGAAUGGAAUUCCUGGUGUAGCGGUGAAAUGCGCAGAUAUCAGGAAGAACACCCCGUGGCGAAGGCGGUUCUCUGGGACGGUACUGACGCUGAGACGCGAAAGCGUGGGGAGCGAACAGG
rnacentral:rRNA from 1 species